UAAUAAUCAAAUCAAAAGAAGCGGCUGGGCGAGAACAAGAAGCGGUCGUCGUACGCCGGCCGGUAGCUCUACUAAGCGAAGAACCGCUCGCUGCCUUUUCUUCGCGAAUAACCAUGUGGAGUGGAGGUAGCCUAGGAGAAGAGAAGCAAGCUACCCUUCGCCUACCUCCCAUCUAUAAGCGGCAAUGGUAAGAGCUGGUAAGCAUGGUAACUGUAUCGGCUAAGGGGUCGGCGCUCCGCGUUCUAUCUAGGUUCCGCUCUGACCUUUCCCCACCUCACAU
rnacentral:sRNA from 1 species